rnacentral:rRNA from 1 species
AGCAGCCGCGGUAAUUCCAGCUCCAAUAGCGUAUAUUAAAGUUGUUGCAGUUAAAAAGCUCGUAGUUGAAUUUCGGGAUCAGAUUGUCGGUCGUGCCUCGGUACGCACUGGCAUUAUUGGUUCCUACCUUCUGAAGAACCGCGAUGUCAUUAAUUUGGUGUCGUGGGGAAUCAGGACUGUUACUUUGAAAAAAUUAGAGUGUUUAAAGCAGGCGCACGCUUGAAUACAUUAGCAUGGAAUAAUGAAAUAGGACGUUUGAUUCUAUUUUGUUGGUUUCUAGGAUCGACGUAAUGAUUAAUAGGGAUAGUUGGGGGCAUUAGUAUUCAAUUGUCAGAGGUGAAAUUCUUGGAUUUUAUUGAAGACUAACUACUGCGAAAGCAUUUUGCCAAGGAUAGUUUUCUAUUAAUUACAAGAACGAAAGUUAGGGGAGUCGAAGACGAUCAGAUACGUCGUAGUCUUAACAUAAACUAUGCCGACUAGGGAAUCGGAUGAUGUUAAUUUUUAAUAGUACUUCAUUCGG